UUUGGCUUUGCUCUCUCAAACUUAAGCUACAAUUAAUUGGUUACCUAAUUUAUAAAGUGAAGAGAUUAAAUGUUGAAAACAAAUUCUCCCUCAUCGGUAACAUGUCAUUUUUCUUAAAAAAAAAAUGAGGAUGGGGAAAUUUUUUAAGGCGCCCCUUAAUGGUACUAAUAGUCAUCUUAAUUAAAAUGGUAAAGUCUCAUAUCAGUUGCAAGAAGACCUGAAUAUAUAUUUAUAAAGUAGAUGAGGGAUCAAAUUGAGUCAAAUGUUACUUCAAUUACUGUUAGAGAGACAUAAAAAUCUUUGAUAAGUAAAACUAAAAUCACAUUCAUUUUUUAAGACUUCUAAUCUAUAUGUCCUAUUUUAUUCAUUAGUUUAUGUGUCUAAUAAUUUUAUUAUUUUUGUGAUAAUGAUAGGGUACCAUGUGUCAAAAAGGGAGGAAUAAGGUUCACAAUCAAUGGCCACUCUUACUUCAACCUAGUUUUGGUCACCAAUGUGGGUGGUGCUGGGGAUGUUCAUUCAGUUUCCAUCAAAGGAUCAAGAACUGGGUGGCAACCCAUGUCAAGAAAUUGGGGACAAAAUUGGCAAAGUAACUCUUAUCUUAAUGGACAAACUCUCUCAUUUCAAGUUACAACAAGUGAUGGUAGAACUAUGACAAGUUUUAAUGUAGCACCAGGCAAUUGGCAAUUUGGUCAAACUUUUCAA
rnacentral:lncRNA from 1 species